rnacentral:antisense_RNA from 1 species
CUUUAUGGUGGCCCGGAUGGGGAGACGCAAGUCUCGCCGGCUUUGGUAAAUGGCUCCGGUACGCCAACCUGUUCGGGCCACCGCCACC